GAACUACUGACUGAAAAAUAGAGUGAAUAUGCACAUGCACAAAGCCAGCUGUAUCUUUACUGCCUUCGAUGUGAGAACUAAAAAUCUCAGAUAGAGCUGCAAUCCUGUUUCCAGAGGAUCCCUCGGAAGAUCCCUGGAGUGCAGAAAAAGGAGACCACUAGAAACAGGGAGCAGUGUGGUGUUGAAAAGAGGUCAGAAAUGCUGUGCCUGUGAAAAAUCUCAAGAAAACCACUGAGUCAGGGAGCCCUGGAAGCUUAUGUCCCAAGGCUUUCCAGCAAAUGAGCCACCAAGCUGCUCCCUACUG